rnacentral:rRNA from 1 species
UACCAGCACCCCGAGUGGUCGGGACGAUUAUUGGGCCUAAAGCAUCCGUAGCCGGUUCUACAAGUCUUCCGUUAAAUCCACCUGCUUAACAGAUGGGCUGCGGAGGAUACUAUAGAGCUAGGAGGCGGGAGAGGCAAGCGGUACUUAGUGGGUAGGGGUAAAAUCCGUUGAUCCAUUGAAGACCACCAGUGGCGAAGGCGGACUUGCCAGAACGCACUCGACGGUGAGG